UGGAAGCAGAUCGGCGGCCGCGGGGAGGUUCGGGGCGGCGCAGCCCCGCGCGGUUGUGGGAUCGCUCCCGGGGGCCGCUCCUCUCUCGGGCACUGGGGUCGCGGGAGACGUCGUCGGGAGCUCGGUUUCUGGAGGCCCUUCCCCACCCGGCCUCUGCCUCCUCCACUCCCCCGGGCUGGACGGAACGGGGCCCAGCGCGGGAUGCGAGAGGUAUGAUUUCGCUCUGUCGCCCAGGCUGGAGGGCAGUGGCGCAAUCUCGGCUCACUGCAGCCUCGAACUCCUAGGCUGAAGCGAUUCUCCCGCCUCAGCCUCCAAAGUAGCCGGUACUACAGGCGCGCGCCACCACGCCUGGCUAAGGUGUGUGUGUGUGUGUGUGUGUGUGUGUCUCCAAAGUAGCGAGGACUACGGGUGUGUGUGUGUGUGUGUGUCUCCAAAGUAGCGAGGACUACAGGCUCCCGCCACUACGCCAGGCUAAGGUAGGGUGUGUAUGUGUGUUAACUUUUUGUAGAGAUGGGAUCUCCCUUUGUAACACGGGCGCCCGCCACUAAGCCAGGCUAAGGUGGUGAAUGUGUGUGUGUGUGUGUGUUAACUUUUUGUAGAGAUGGGAUCUCGCUUCGUAACCCGGGCUGGUAUCGAACUCCUGUCUUCAAGGAAUCCUCCCGUCUGGACUCCUCCCAUGGGAUUACGGGCAUGAGCCACGGCACCUGGCUAUUUUUUUUUUCUAAGCAUUUAAAUAAGCUGGGGCUUGAUUUGGGAGUUUUCUAUUGUAUUUUGAGCUUUGCCGAGGACUUGAUAGUGACCUUGCUUUAAGCUGUGAAAUAAAUCUUGGGGUCCCAGAGCUAUUUUAAUAUUGAAUUCGCUGUGGAGUUGUUUUGAGUUCCUUGGAGGUUAACAUGAGAUAGAAAACUAAGUUAACACAACUCAUCGACUGCCCUUGCUUUGCUUUGCUUUGCUUUUAGAAUGCCAUCGGGUUUUGUCAUGUUGGGAACAAGUUAACUUAGGCCAGUUGACUAAGAUCAAGGAAACUGAGGCCCAGAGAUGAAAUCAUGCCUUGAUUUAUGCAGACCUCAGUACCUGUUCGUGACAAAUCCAGUUACUAAAAGGUAAGAGAAGGAAUAAGGGACUUGAUAUUUAUCUAGCAUCAGCAAUGUGUGGACAUCGUGUGAACGGCUUUAUAAACAUUUCAUUUAAUUCUCUACAUCUAGCCAUUUUUUAACCUGUGCUUUCCCUCCCUCUCAAAGUACUGUUUAUACAUUUAUUAGUCCAUAUUUUAAACGCUCCAUGCUCUCAACUGUAUUAAUGCUAUUUGUUAGGAUAAGUGGCAGAUGUCCAUGGAAAAUAAGUGGCUGCAAAGUGGUAAUGCUGACCAGAUGAGAAAAGAAGUGUAAAAGGGAAGUUCUAAAGAAUUAAAGCCCUGGAGAGGGUGGGUAGACAACAACAGUCCAAAAUAGUGCUCUUCAUUGAGGCUGUGUAGAUUUUCCUGCUUCCUGGGAAAACUGGGGCAUAUUUACACUUGCAUGUGUGUAUUCAGAUUGUCUGGGGCUAUGGAGUUUGGGUCAGAUUGCUGAACCCGUGGGAGAGAAGUUCCCUUGUUGUCUGUUGUUGUCUGUUCUGAUUGCUGCUUUGUAAUUUGGGCCACAUAUGAAAGUCAGCAUCCAGUCAUUGGACCAUAGGUGUGUGGCAUAUCUACUCAGAUGCAUUAAGCUAUUUUUAUUUCAUUAUAAAAUGUAUAACAUUUACAUUCAAAUUAUGGUUUGAAGGGCUUAAGAGGAGAAAGAGACAGUGGCACUAAGGUGACAGCAUGGCUGGCUGCAUGCUUCCUGUCCAAGAAGGUCACUGGGCAGUGUUAACUGGGAAGAGCAUCUGGAGGAUGAGAGAUCAGUGUAGCCACAUACCCUUAACAAAGGGUGGUACAGCCUCUGGUCUGCCAGGAUUUUUGUGCCCCGCCCCCCUCCCCCUCUUUCCCUAUCUCCUCUUUGACAUUUCCACCAUAUUCCCCUUAGGUAUGUACCUGUUUGGACUUUAAUUUAGAGUGUAACUUUUGGUCAAGAAUCCUGGAGAGAAAAGACGGGUACUAAAGCCUCGCUAGUGAUUUACCUGGGUGCCGACCCCCACAACUCAUCCACCCUACAUGCAUACUUCAAACUCCUCCAGGCAGAUACUCCCUGCCUGACACACAGUGACACUUUGGGAAAAAUUGCAGAACAGUAACCAACUCUGAGCAGAUAAAUGUGAUGUCAAAAUGAUAGUAAUGAGAGAUGUCGUUCGUUGAAAGCCUGCUAGCUGCCAUGCACUAUACUAUUUCUUACAUCUAAAUCUGAUUAAGUUAUACCCCAUUUUAUAAAUAGACACUUUGAUAAGUAAACCUAUCUAAGAUCAAAAUACUGAGAAAUGUCCUAAUUGGGGAUUUGAACCUGGUUCUAAUUCCAAAGUCCAAGCUACAUCCACCCCAACCUCCUACCUCCUAUCUCCAAGACUUUGUGAGUAAAAAAACAAGUGUCACUUCUCUCCUUCUCUUUUUUCUGUCCUAAAGGAAGCUGGGAGCUAACCACUUAGGACUAGUACUAAUCUUUCAGAGAAAGGGAUGAGGGGAGCCUUGUUAUUUCUGUGGGGUUCAGCUCUCAGACCAGAGUAAGACAGGCAACAAGGUUGAGGAGUAGCCAUAUGCAGAAAUAACCUGUGUAUCUAGCCACAGGAUCUCCAACACUGUGUCACUCGGGAAUCAAAAUACAGAGACAGUUCCUCAAUAGAGUGUGGAUCUAGCCCAGAAUGUGGACAAGGGGAGUGGAGAAGGGGAGAGGUACACACUGAGCAUUGUAACAAGGCCUGUCCUCAAGCUUGAGGAGGAUUAGGAAGAUGGCUUGAGUCUGGGAGUAGGAGGCUGCAGUGAGCUAUGAUUGUACCACUGUACCCCAGCCUAGGUGACAGAGUGAGACCCUGUCUCUUAAAAGAAAAAAAAAAUUGACCUGGAUCUACUCAUACCCACCCUGGUCUUUGAGCAGAAAGAAUCAUUUGGGAAUUAUUUUGUCUCAUCUUUCUCCAUGAUCACUGUUGAAGAAUUUGGUCACUGUAACCAGGUAAAUAUAAAACUCAGGUGGGCCGGGCGCGGUGGUUCACACCUGUAAUCCCAGCAGUUUGGGAGGCUGAGGUGAGUGGAUCACGAGGUCAGGAGAUCAAGACCAUCCUGGCUAACACAGUGAAACCCUGUCUCUAUUAAAAAUACAAAAAAUUAGCCAGGCGUGGUGGUGGGCGCCUAUAGCUCCAGCUGCUCGGGAGGCUGAGGCAGGAGAAUGGUGUGAACCCGGGAGGUGGAGGUUGCAGUGAGCCGAGAUCGUGCCACUGCACUCCAGCCUGGGUGACAGAGCAAGACUCCGUCUCAAAAAAAACUCAGAUGAACUAUAGCUAAGUCAGUGCUCUUGACACUUUUUUAGCAAUAGUAGCUUUGUUUCUCACAGAAAAAACAAAAUUUUCUGUGGAACCACACUAUUUAAAACAUAAGCAAUAUUAGUAUCAACUUGUAUAAUUUAUAGAUCUACUGAUAAAAACAAUCAAGAAUAGUCUACCUUAAUUGAAUCAGGAGGAGAUAACUGCAGUCUUACAUCAGCCAUACUCGUAUCCAUGAAAUAUGAGUCAGUCAUUUGCACAACUCCCUGAGUCACCUUCUGGAACACAGAAAACACUGAGCCAAGUUAGCCCAGGACCUGAACCUUUUGUGGAAAGGAAAAUCUGUAGUGUCUCCUCAGAGUAUGGCUGCCCUUUCACCUGGUAGUCAGUUUCUCAUGACGGUUACUCGAGCAUUUAUAAGGCAGUUGUGAAAUAACCAAGACAUUCUGUGUGUUGUGCUACUGAUGCUCCUCCUGUCACCGACCUCCUCUCCAAAUGAGGCCUGCCUUUUGUCCUUGGUAGUAGGCAGUCCACAGUGUAACCAGCUACAGGGGAAGUAUUUACUUUGAUAGCCACUUGACCUUGAUCAAGUCAGGUGACUCAUUUCUGGAUAACAUUUUUGAGAGUAUACUGAGCCAGGCACCUUGAGGAUACGAAAGUGGAUUAUAGUUUCCAUUCUGGAGAAACUCACAGUCCAGUAAGUUAAACAAUCACAAGAACAAGUUUCCAGCAAUGAGAGUGAUUACAGCCACUGAGUGGUGAAAUCUGAGAAAUGCAAAGCCUGCCGCCUAUAAAUACCUACAUUUAUCGCCUGGGCAUAUACCUAAAAUUCCACCAUGAGAAAUAUAUUUAUAUGAAAUUAGAAACUACCCAGAAAUUGUGCGUCCAAAUAAAAAUUCCCACAAGAAAUAAGGAUGGCUAAUAGUUUUAAGUAGUAGUGUCAAGUCUUUUGGACCAGAGUAACUGCCAGGGACGUUGUGUUGAGGAUUCUGAGGUCAUGUUCCAGCUUAGCCGAGAAGGGAGCCACCAUGAGGGAACGAGUGAGGGAGGGUAGCACUUGUGCCCCAUAUUUUUUCCUAAGUAAAUCAUUUGUUGAUGGAAUGCAUGAUGAAACAGGGACAGCCAGGGUCUCUGGCAUCUGGGAGAAAGCCCACUUGGAAACUGAUUUAUCUACCUCACCACUGCAAGUUCACCAUUUGUCCCCAGACUAAAUGGCCUUAGGAAGCCCAGGCUCUGUCUUGUCGAACUCUACCUUCUUUAUCCUUCCAUACUUUUCAAGAAGAGAAAUGGUAUAUAUAUGUGGGAUCCUUGAGAACUAGGAUGUACCUGUGAGCAGGCAAAGUGUAGCAUCUAGCAGGGUCAGGCAUAAGUUGGAAGUGAGAGAGGUGGCUACUGUGCUCCCCAAUGGCUGUUCUCCCAUCUCCCAUAGUUUCAAGGCCUGUUUUGUGAGGAACAGCAGUAUGCCCAGCUCAAAGAUGACAGCUGGCCACAGGACUAAGUCUGGCCAAUAAGAUGUGAGUGGACGCUUCCAGAAAAGCUCUCUAAAGAGGCAUGAGCCACUGCACCCGGCCGGGGAUGAACAUUUUUAUAUGCUAAUCUUUGUCAGCAUCUGCUCAUUUCUAUAAAAGGAAUCAUUAGAAUUGGAAUUCCUAGGUCAUUUUGACCAAAAAGGAACAUUUUUAAAUCUCUUAAUAUUGCCAUAUGACAUCUUAGAAAGUUUACAUCAUUUUACACAAAUAAUUGUUUCCUUAUCGAUGUUCCAAACCUAGAGAACUUUUGGUCAUUCUGUGAUCUGUAAUUGGAGAAAUUUCCAUUGCUCUAGCAGCAUUUUAUACAUACUUAUCAAGAUGUAUUAUGAUUUAUACACAUUUAUCAAGAUGUAUUAUGUUUUACUUGCAUUUCUCCAAGUAAGCUCUGAAGUGGAAAACAGAACUUGUUUUACUCUUUGUAGCACAGUACUGAGAACAGUAACACCUAACAGGCCCUUUCUAGGUAAAUCUGCAGAAACAGUAAUUGUCUCAAUCUCAGUUUCCCUGUGGUAGACCAAAAUAAAGCUUUGCAUACCUAACCUAGGGAAGCUGCAUACAGUUGGAGAGCUGGAUUCAACUAAACCUGGCCUGACAGCUCUUCAACAUGUUUUUCUUUUCCAAGUUCCACAUUGCUCACUGUGUCCUUUUAACACUCCUGUUUUUUAUUUUAUCCAUCACACGAAGUUGUAGUUGGUUCUGCCUGCAGUGUUUCUCCAUGAUGUAAUAUAACCUCAUUAUAUACACUCAGGAGCCUGAGAAAUGAGUAUCACAAACCACAGAGUCUUCUUGUUGCUUAGUUACUAUCCUGCAUUUCCUGGAGACUUUACCUUGGCAAAGUAUAUGAUGCUACGUUUUAAUGAAUGUUGAUUGGUCACUGUAUGAUAAAUGCCAGGAAAAACAAUGAAUGAUAAAAAGAAGUGUAAAUCCCACUCUUCUGCCUAUAUCCCAGCUCCAUUUUCACGUCUUUUGGUAUCAGCCCCAGGAUUUGGGGUCUUCUGUUUGAAAAUGAGAUCAGUUCCGUAACAUCUGUAUAGCUUUGCUUGCUAUGGUACUGGGCUGGAAAGAGGCAGGUCAAAGCGAGUGCCCCCCUCACUGGUGUGCCCUGAGGAUGCAGAGGCCCUCUUUGCCUGGUGAUAACACCUUCAAUGCCCGUUAGGGGGCCCAAAAUUGCCAGUUUAUUAUCCCUUUGGGACUGAUGCCUUAAAAUCUCAUUUUGUCUUUGAGAAGUGGUAUUUGGAAUAUUCACACAUCAAAGUGUUAUCGUUCUCUGCUAGCACAGUACCAGCUAGUUUAUCUUAGCCAGCUGGCUUACCUCUCAAGGCACUAAAGGAACGGAAAAACACAGGGCAAUCUCUGUAAGCCUCGUUCCUUCACUUGGUAACCUCUGAAAAGCUAGAGAGAAAGGACCAGUGAGAGAACAGGAUCAGCUCUUGCUGGGGGUCCAGCCAGGAGCCACCAUGGAGGGCCUGGAGCACUUAGAGGAAAACAUGGGGACAUCAGGUAUGCAGGAGAUCAGGCAAAAAACAGUAAAGUCAGCUUAGGAAAGACUCGUACCUCUCACCCCCACUGCCUCAACCUCCUCCAAAGUGUAGAGUUCAUAGCUUUUCCUUGGGAAGCUUCUGUGUAUACAGUGCUCAACAGAAGAGAGGAACAGGAUUUAGGUUACUAUCUUCCAUACCCUAAAAGUGAACAUUGUAAUAUUGCAAAUACAGUAGCAGAAGGAAAGCACUUCUCAGGAAGUAAAAAUACAUCUACUCCUGCUAACAGUUUUCUCCAUUCACAAAAUAUUACUGAUUUUUUUAAAAUUUGGAAAGAAUAUUAAUAUUCAUAGAUGUUAGAUUAGUUGGGCAAAAUAUGCUAAAAAUUGCCAUUUAAUUUAUAAUAGUGAAAAACAAUGCAACCUAAAUGCCCAUGAAUGAUAACUAAUUACAUACAGUGGACUACAAUGGAAUUCUAUGAAGUCAUAAAAAUAAGGAUGUACAUCUGUAUUUAUUGUUAUAGAAAGAAAGCCACGAAAUAUUGUUGAGAGAGAAAGCAGAUUGCAAAACUGAAUAUAUAUGCAAAGAGAUGUUUUUAGGGAUAUUCACUGUUAAACAGUGAUUAACUUAGUUGACUUUUUUUUCCUCUGUUCCUUCUUUUUUCUUUUUUACUUUAAAUAUUUAUCUUUUUUAAAAGAAAUAAUACAUUUCCUCCCUCCAAAAAAGAAUAGCCUAGCGAAAUAUUUUUACUUCAAAUGCUUUUCCCCUUAUUAAUCUUUGUAUAAACCAUUGUGGUUUGCUAAAACAAGGAAGGUUGUAGAGUAGAAUCCAUGCCCACGUUAGAACAAAAUCCAGGCAGGAAGACACUUCAUACGUGGUUAUAAGACCAGGAGGACGAGGAGACAAAGGGAAGCAAUGGUGUUUGUUUGUUUGUUUGUUUGUUUUAAGAGACAGUGUCACUCUGUCACCCAGGUUGGAGUACAGUGGCACCAUCAUAGCUCAGUGCAGCCUCCAACCCCUGGGUUCCAGCGAUCCUCCCACCUAAGCCUCUCUAGUAUCUGGGACUACCGGUAUGCACCACCACAUCCAGCCAAUUUUUAAUUUUUCUUUUUUUGAGACAGGGUCUUGCUAUGUUGCCCAGGCUGGUCUCAAACUCCUAGGCUCAAGCAAACCUCCCAAAGCACUGGGAUUACACGUGUGAGCCACCACACCCGGCCUAGAAGCAAUGGUUCUGAUCCAGGAAAAGUGCAGCCUGGAAACUCAGCAAUCUGUACAGAAUCCUAGCUCUUAGACUAAAAGGCAUCAACUGGUACAAUUUCUUGCCUUUGGGCACUGAACGUGUUAGCUUCUAUUUUAUUUAACUUACUGUAAAAUUAUAUUAGCUAUGCUGCCACUUAAGCCAAGAUGCUUUCUGUCUAGUCACUUCGGUUCCAUCCUUUUGAGCGCCCUGCCGUUUCAUUGCCUCUCCUUUCUCAUUCCUCUCCCCAAGGCUGUACUUUGAGUAACUGUAUGUGCAUUUUCCUGUGCCUUUUCAUUAUUAAAACACUGUAAAAGGUAAUGUCUCCAAAAUGCAAACCAUAGUCUUCUCCAUUGAAAAAUAUUUUCCAGGCCAGGCACUCCACUGUGCCACUGCACUCCACCUGGAUGACAGAGUGAGACUCUGUCUCAAAAAAAAAACAAAAAACUCAUUAAACUGUAAAAUGGGCGCAUUUUAUUUUAUGUAAACUGUAUCUCAGUAAAGUUUAUUUAUUUAUUUUUGAGACAAAGUCUUGCCCUGUUGCCUAGGUUAAAGUGCAGUGGCAUAAUCAUGGCUCCCUGCAGCCUUGAACUCCUGGGCUCAAGCGAUCCUCCUACCUCAGCCUCCUCCCAAGUAUUUGGGACCACGGGCAUGUGCCACCAUGCCCAGCUAAUUUUUUUUUAAGAGAUGGCGUCUUGCUAUGUUGCCCAGGCUGGUCUCGAACUUCUGACCACAAGAGAUCCUCCUGUCUUGGCUUCCCAAAGUUUUGGGAUUACAGGCAUGAACCACCAGGCCUGACCAAAGUUGAUUUUAAAAAAUGAAAGGGGGGCCAAGCGCAGUGACUCAACCCUUAUAAUCCCAGCACUUUGGGAGGCCGAGGCGGGUGGAUCACCUGAGAUAGGGAGUUCAAGACCAGCCUGAUCAACAUGGAGAAACUCUGUCUCUACUAAAAAAUACAAAAUUAGCUGGGAGUGGUGGCGCAUGCCUGUAAUCCCAGCUACUCGGGAGGCCUCAGCUUGAACCCUGUAGGCAGAGGCUGCAGUGAGCUGAGAUCACGCCAUUGCACUCCAGCCUGAGCAACAAGAGCGAAACUCUGUCUCAAAAAAAAAAAAAAAAAGGGUCUGUGCUUGGUGGCUCACACCUGCAAUCCCAGCACUUUGGGAGGCCAAGGUGGGUGAAUCACCUGAGGUCAGGAGUUCGAGACCAGCCUGGCCAACGUGGUGAAACCCCUCUCUACUAAAAAUAAAAAAAUUAGCCAGGUGUGAUGGCGCACGCCUGUAGUCCCAGCUACUCAGGAGGCUGAGGCACAAGAAUUGCUUGAACCUAGGAGGCAGAGGUUGCAGUGAGCCGAGAUCAUGCCACUGCAUUCCAGCCUGGGUGACAGAGUGAGACUCCAUCUCAAAAAACAACAAAAAUGAAAGGGAAAUAAGAGUCAUUACCAAUAUAAUUAGGUUUAAAUUUUUAGUUAAAAUCAAAUUUUAACUGGGAUUGCCAAAAAUGUCCUUAACUUCAUAUCUCCAAAUAAAAUGUCUGCAGUUAAUUUAUGUUGUUUAUACAGCUAGCUAAUUCUCUAUAUUUUUAUAGUAUGUUGACACUUAAAAUUUCAAUCUCUUCUAGUGGUUCCAUGAGUGGGACUGAGGGGAUGAUGGGUGUUCUCAUUAUAGCCUUCAGAAGGCUGCCUAUAUAUAAGUGUGCACAAAUAACUAUUAUUCAGAGAAUUAGAAUCAUCACAAAAUAUCCUUUAUGAAGGAUAAAUAUAGGCUAAUUUAUCCUUUAUGACUGUUAAAUAUAGGCUAAUGUUUCUUUUAUUCUUCAGACCCAUUUCAACUUUAUAGAAAAAAAAGUAUGCACAAAAGCAGCACUCUAUAAUUAAAAAAAAUUCCUUAUUGGUCUUUUGGAUUUUGGUUCUGCAUAAGUAUGAGUUUCUCAUCAGGCCUCUCUAGACUACUAAAGCCUAAAGUGAUGCUUCCCCCAUCUCAGCUCUUAGAGGAAUUACUGGGUGUCUUGUUUAUUUGGCAAUUCCGUGCUUACAAACUCUUUUCAAUGAGAUCUUCAGCUCCUUGAGACCACAGUAGAUACCUACGUAUUUGUCGGUGUAAUUUUGUUGUGUUGAUUUACUGAAUUCAAAGGGUUUGUACAAAUACUUUGUUUACAGGGUUUCAUUACAAAUCCAAAUAAGCUCAUAUGCUUAGUAAUUCCAAAAAUGUUAUAGGUAUUCAGAUUAGCAUUGCUCAUUCAUGCCAUUUAAUUUACAGAGCUCAGCUGCAGUAAUUUUCUCCAGUGGAUGAUGUAAGGAAGGCAUUGGCAGAGGAGUAAGAGACUUGGCUUCAGAGUGGGCAGUAAUAGGGCUAAAUCUGGUUUUACAAAGCAGGUACUGUAAAGCUCUCAUUGCCUUUCUGAGGACAAGGCUUUGAGCUAUGAGUGCCAGGGUCGUCUGUCUAAGUGGAGGCUUCUUAAAGGAAUUGAGCCUCGUUUCCUGGGUUUGAGGUGUAUUCUUUUUCACAUUCCCUUUGUACACCAAAUAUAUUUAGUAUUUAUUAUCUUUGAAGUUUAGACCUUUGGAAUUUUUUUUUUUUUUUGAGGCAAAGUCUCACUGUAGCCCAGGCUGGAGUGCAGUGGUGUGAUCUCAGCUCAUUGCAACCUCUGCCUCCUAGGUUCAAGCGAUUCUCCUAUAUCAGCCUCCUGAGUAGCGAGGACUACAGGCACGUGCCCACCAUGCCCUGCUAAUUUUUGUAUUUUUAGUAGAGACAGGGUUUCACCAUGUUGGCCAGGCUGGUCUCAAACUCCUGACCUCAGGUGAUCUGCCUUCCCUGGCCUCCGGACAUGCUGGGAUUACAGGUGGGAGCCACCACGCCAGGCCACAGUUUGAUGAGUUUUGAGAAAGUAAUAUACGCAUGUAACCACCAUCACCACAAUCAAGAUCUAGAACAUUUCCAUCACCCCAAAAUUCCCUGGUACUCGUCCCUGGUCCCAGGCAAGCCCUGAUCUGUUUUCUGUCACUGUGGAUCAGAUUUGUCUUUUCUAGAGUCUCAUAAAAAUGUGAUCUUAUAAAAUGUAUAGACUCUUGUGUGUAAGGUUUCUUUUCCUCAGCAUAAUGUUUUUAGACUUGUCUAUGUUGCAUGAAUGAGUGGUUCAUUUCUGUUUAUCACUGAGUAUUUUUCCAGUGUAUGUAUAUACCACAAUUUGUUUAUAUACCACAAAUGUUGAUGGACAUUUAGGCUUUGUCCAGUUUUGUCUAUUAUGAAUAAAGCCAUUAUGAACAUCUAUGUACAAGUUUUUGUGUGGACAUGUUUUCUCUUGGGUAAAUAUCUAGGAGUAAGACUACUGGGUUGUAUGCUAAGUGUAUGUUUAAUUUUAAAAGAAAUGGCAGCCGAGUGCGGUGGCUCAUGCCUGUAAUCUUAGCAAUUUGGGAGGCCGAGGCGGGCAGAUCACCUGAGGUCAGGAGUUCGAGACCAGCCUGGCCAACAUGACGAAACCCUGUGUCUACUAAAAAUACAAAAAAAAUUUGCCACGCAUGGUGGCACACACCUGUAAUCCCGCUACUUGGGAGGCUAAGGCAGGAGAAUCGCUUGAACCUGGGAGGUGGAGGUGAGACUGAGCCAAGCUCACACCACUGUACUCCAGCCUGAGCGACAGAGCGAGACUCCAUCUCAAAAAAAAUAAAAAAUGGCCAAACUGUUUUCCAAAGUCCUGGUACCAUCUUACAUCCUACCGGUAAAGUUAUGAGAGUUGUAGUUGCCCUACAUUCUCACCAAUACUUGCUAUUAUCAGUCUUUUUAAUUUUCACCAUCCUAAUGGAUACGUAGUGGUAUCUCACUGUGGUUUUACUUUGCAUUUCCCUGAUGGCUAAUGAUGUUGACAUAUUUUUGUGUGCAUGUUGGAUACUAAUAUAUCUUUGUAAAGUGCCUAUUCAGUGUCUUUUCCAAUUUAGUUGGGUUGCUAAAAAGUCUUCAUAUAUUCCAGAUACAAUACCUUUGGCAGGUAUGUAGAUAUGUGUUGUGUGACUAUUUUCUCCCAGUCUGUGACUUGUCUUCAUUUUGUUAGCAUUGUCUUUUGAAGAGCAGAAGUCUUUAACUUUGUAAAAGUCUAAUUUUUUGCUAUCUUCUUUUAUAGCUCUUGUCUUUUUUUGUUUUUUUGUGUGUGUGUAUUCAAUUAUCUAAGAACUCUUUGACUCCCUUCAGAUCAUGUAAAUGUUCUCCUGUUUUAUUUUAGAAAUUUUAAUUUUACCUUUUUUUUUUUUUUUGAGACAGAGUCUUGCUCUGUCACCCAGGCUGGAGUGUAGUGACGUGAUCUCAGCUCACCGCAGCCUCUGCCUCCCAGGUUCCAGCAAUUCUGCCUCAGCUUCCCAAGUAGCUGGGACUACAGGAGGCAAGCACUGCGAUGCCCAGCUAAUUUUUGUAUUUUUAGUAGAGACAGGGUUUCACCAUGUUGGCCAGUAUGGUCUUGAUCUCCUGACCUGGUGAUCCACCCGCUUCGUUCUCCCAUAGUGCUGGGAUUACAGGCGUGAGCCACCGCACCCAUCCAAGUUUUACCUUUUAAGCUUAGGUACAUGAUCCAAUUUGAGGUGAAUUUUGUGUAUGAGUAAGUUAAUAAUCAAUGUUCAUUUUUUCCCAUAUGGAUAUCCAGUUUUUCCGGUACCAUUUGUUGAAAAGACUGUCUUUCCCCUAUUGACUUACUGUGGCCACUUUGUCAAAAAUUACUUGCCCAUAGACAUGCGGGUUCAUUUAUUUUGUUCCAUUGAUCCAAAUGUUGAUCCUUUAAUAAUAAUGUAGCUUUAUAGUCAGUCUUGAAAUUUGAUAGUUUGAAUAUUCCAACUUUGUUGUUCUUUUUCAAAAAUUUUUUGCAUUCUAAGUCCUUUGUGUUUUUAUAUAAAUUUUAGAAUAAGUUAUGUAAGUGCCUGCUGGGAUUUUCUUUUUUUUGAGACAGGGUCUUACUAUGUCACCCAGACUGAAGUGCAGUGGCAUGAUCACAGGUCAUUGCAUCCUCAACCACCCAGACUCAAGCAAUCCUCCUGUCUCAGCCUUCCAAGUAACUGAGACCACAGAAAUAACCAUGGAUAUGGGUAGAGACAGAGCCAUAUGGAAUGCACACUGCAGUGGUGAACACAUGGCCCAGCUCUGCCAUCAAGGAGAAGGAACAUGAAUGGAGCUGGAGGCCAUCAUCCUUAGUGAACUAACACAGGAGCAGAAAACCAAAUACCACAUGUUCUCAUGUGUAAGUGGGAGCUAAAUGAUGAGAACACAUGGACACAAAGAGGGGAACAACAGACACUGAAGCCUCCUUGAGGGAGGAGGGUAAGAGGAAGGAGAAGAUCAGAAAAGAUAACUACCAGGUACUAUGGUAGCUUAGUACCUGGGUGAUGAAAUAAUCUGUACACCCAACCCUCAUGACAGAAGUUUACCUGUGUAACAAACCUGCACAUGUAUCCCUGAAACUAAAAGUUUUUUAAAAAGUUAUUUAAUAUAUAUAUAUUUUUUUGAGACGGAGUUUUGCUCUUGUUGCCCAGGCUGGAGUGCGGUGGCGCAAUUUCGGCUCACCACAACCUCCGCCUCCCAGGUUCAAGCUAUUCCCCUGCCUCAGCCUCCCUAGUAGCUGGGAUUACAGGCUUGUGCCACCACGCCGGCUAAUUUUGUAUUUUUUGUAGAGACGGGGUUUCUCCAUGUUGGUCAGGCUGGUCUCGAACUCCCGACCUCAGGUGAUCCACCCCCCUCGGCCUCCCAAAGUGCUAGGAUUACAGGCAUGAGCCACUGCGCCCGGCAAAAAGUUAUUUAAUAUUAAUGGGACAAUACUCAUUGCAAGAAUCAGACUUCAAUUGCUAGCAUAAGUAAAUGACAGGCAGGAGAUAUUGAAAAUGCAAUCUUAUAGACAUUCAAGGAGAGGACGCAGGACAUUUCUGUGUCAUAAAUGUACUAUGGAAAAUAAAAAUGAGAAAAAUGGAAAUAAAAUACAAGAAAAGGUUAUGAUAAAUUUCAUAUUAUUUUACCACAAUAAAAAAAUUUUAAUAAAUUAUAAAUGGUGUGAUAUGUUUUGCCUGUGUUCCACCCAAAUCUCAUCUUGAAUUAGAGCUCCCACAAUUCCCACGUGUUGUGGCUGGGACCCUGUGGGAGAUAAUUGAAUCAUGGGGGCAGUUUACCCCAUACUGUUCUCUUGGUGGUGAAUAAGUCUCAUGAGAGUUGAUGGUUUGAUAAGGGGUUUCCCCUUUUGCUUGGCUCUCAUUCUCUCUUGACUGCCACCAUGUAAGAUGUGCCUUUUGCCUUCCACCAUGAUUGUGAAGCCUCCCAGCCACAUGGAACUGUGAGUC
rnacentral:lncRNA from 10 species